AUAUUAAUAAAAAACUUAACUGCCAGUACCUUUUCACAUAUCAGACGACCAGUGUGUCUUGCCUUAAGUGCUCUUCAUGUUUUAUAUAUAUCCUUGUUUUCAUAUUUGCGCAUUUUUGGGUUUUUGUAAAUUCUACUUUGUAUAUUGGAUUUUUUUGCUUACUUCCUUCUCUGUCUUUUGUAUAUUUUUCUCUGCAAUUUCUGCUUAUCUUUCUCUGCCUUUCAACACUCUUCAAUUGCAUGUUGUUGUCUGCAUUUAUCCAUAGCUUCAUUGACAGAAUCUUGUAUCAAUGAUACUUUGGAUUUCGAUACAACAGCGACAUGGCUCUUCAUUUAUUUGCUUAUCAAAACAAAAAUUAUGGGGAUGGGUUCUAAAACCUCUAAAGAUAGCUCAAAAGUUCCUCUCCUGCCAUCCGACCAUAUCACCUUUAGUGACAACGAGGAGACGUUGAAUGACUCGUCUGAGCAUUUAGAGGUAGAGGUGGUGGAGGUAGAGGAGGCAAAGGCCUUGGCAAUAAUAGAAACUACACAACCCUUGAGGGCUCGCCCCAAGAGAAUUCAGAAGCGUAAGGUUUUGAUGAUGAGGAUGGUCAGGCUAAAAAGAAAGUUCGCCAGAUUAGGGCUGUUUUUUAUUUUCUGAGCCGCCUUCAAUCGAUUUAUCUAAAGGGAAUUAUUGAGACUUAUGGUAUCCUGAUAGACUUCUCCAUUAGAAUGCCUGAGCCCGUUACAAAGGCUAACCAACCUCUAAGCAAAGGGGGGAUAUUGGUGCAUUUAAAGGACUUGGAUGCUGAUUUGCAAUUUCCUCUGGAUCCUUUGAUCUCCUCUAUACUGUUCGACUAUAAAAUUAUGAUAUGCCACUUGCAUCCGAACUCGUAUAGGAUUUUUAACGGCUUGCGAAUGAUAGCUGAGACAGAUAAGAUCAAUCUAACUACCAGGGUAGUUAGGGAGCUUUAUUCAAUAAUGAUAAAACCUGAUCUCGAUCAGUUUAGGUUUUCAAAGUGGGCAACGGAUCUUCACAAAUUCUCUAAAGUCCGUAAAUAACUAGAAGGAUAAAUUCUUUAUCAUUACCUGUGAGUCUGGGUGGGGAGAGGUACCUAACACUUGGGUUUCCUCACCAAAUGUGCCAGUAAAUGCUCCCUUCUCUGAAGAGAAGGAAAAGAUUAGGAUUCACAUUCUAGAGUUAGAACCUCUAGACAUUAGGGACCUUCUAAGUGUUCAUAACUUCAGCAAAUCCUAUAAAAGAUAGAAUCAAAAAAAGAAACCCAUGGCUGGUGGGAGGACUUCUUGGAAAUCUUCAUGUUCUCGAAGGCCUAAUGAGAUGGUGAACAUGAGAAAGCUGAUGAAGCAACAAAAGAAGAAGUAGCAAAGAAAGAGAUCUCAUUCUGGCAAUUUCGCCAAAAAUGCUGCUGAGAUGGGCCACUCCAAGGCCCGUGAUGCCUCCAACAUAGCUCAUCCUCCCCCUUCAUCUCAAUUCGAGUAGGAGAUUAGGCAGAAAUGACCCGGAAAAGACCCAACUGUCUCUUUCGAGCAUCUUGCUAAGAAGAGCAAACCUUCUACGUCUACUAGCAAGUCUAUAGAUGAGCUUAACUAUUUGCAGAAAUAGCAUUUUGAAGGUUUUUAGGGAGGAGGCCUCUGUUCAUACACCAAAGGCAGGCAUUUGAGGUGGUCUACAACUGCAACCUUCCUCUAGACCAAGAGAGGCUUCAAAAUAUACUUGAUGGCAAUCUACUGGGAGGCUCGUAUGCCAUUAAGCUUGAGGUAUACAAACUUUUUAUAUUGUCGUACUUAGUUCCCUUUAACAGAAUUUAAUUAUGCAGCAUUGGUUCUGGCAGGCUAUCGAUUCAUGGAACUGAAAAGGAGAUAACAGGAUAAGUUAAAGGCCUAGGAUCAUGAGCUCGCCUUGUACAAAAAGGUGGAGCAAGAUCUGAAGGCUAAAAUAGACAAGCUUAACAUCCUCAAUGCUUAUGAGCAAAAACAGAUGCUGACUCGACAUCAUGCUGCCUUUGGAUGAAAAGGAUCUUAGAAUCUUUUCCCUUGAAGUGGCUGAGCGGGCUAAUCCGGGGCAAGAGAAGCAAGGGCGAAUUGAUGAUGCUAUGAAGAUAGUGAAGUCUCUUGUGGGAUAUCAAGUGAAGCUUAAUUGCGAGCUCGCUUGUAAAUAUCUGAAUUGUGACUUCUUGUGCAUCAAUGAAUAUUACCCUAAUGAUGAUAAUGCUGAAGAGAGGCUCACACAUGGUGAAUUUGUGAGUGAUGCUAAUCCUUCCUCUACCAAUGCUCAUGUUUCUGAUCCUUUGGGUCUUGCUCCUGUUGAUCCUGAAACUAUACUUUCAGUAGAUGAUUAUUUAGCUAAUCUUGCUAUCAAUACUACUACUGCUCAAACAGGGUAGUAGUUCUUCUAUUCUACCGCACUCUUUUUAUUUUAUUUAAUGAAAUUUUUCUUUCUA